rnacentral:rRNA from 1 species
UACGAAGGGGGCUAGCGUUGUUCGGAAUUACUGGGCGUAAAGGGCGCGUAGGCUGUGCUGUAAGUCAGGCGUGAAAGCCCCGGGCUCAGCCUGGGAAUUGCGCUUGAUACUGCGGCGCUGGAAGGUGGGAGAGGAUGGCGGAAUUCCCAGUGUAGAGGUGAAAUUCGUAGAUAUUAGGAAGAACACCGGUGGCGAAGGCGGCCCACUGGAUCGGUACUGACGCUGAGGUGCGAAAGCGUGGGGAGCAAACAGG